AUUGAACGCUGGCGGCAGGCCUAACACAUGCAAGUCGAGCGGCAGCGGGAAAGUAGCUUGCUACUUUUGCCGGCGAGCGGCGGACGGGUGAGUAAUGCCUGGGAAAUUGCCCAGUCGAGGGGGAUAACAGUUGGAAACGACUGCUAAUACCACAUACGCCCUACGGGGGAAAGCAGGGGACCUUCGGGCCUUGCGCGAUUGGAUAUGCCCAGGUGGGAUUAGCUAGUUGGUGAGGGAAUGGCUCACCAAGGCGAAGAUCCCUAGCUGGUCUGAGAGGAUGAUCAGCCACACUGGAACUGAGACACGGUCCAGACUCCUACGGGAGUCAGCAGUGGGGAAUAUUGCACAAUGGGGGAAACCCUGCUGCAGCCAUGCCGCGUGUGUGAAGAAGGCCUUCGGGUUGUAAAGCACUUUCAGCGAGGAGGAAAGGUUGAUGCCUAAUACGUAUCAACUGUGACGUUACUCGCAGAAGAAGCACCGGCUAACUCCGUGCCAGCCGCCGCCGUAA
rnacentral:rRNA from 1 species